CCUACGGGAGGCAGCAGUGGGGAAUUUUGGACAAUGGGCGAAAGCCUGAUCCAGCCAUUCCGCGUGCAGGAUGAAGGCCCUCGGGUUGUAAACUGCUUUUGUACAGAACGAAAAGGUUUCUACUAAUACUAGGAGCUCAUGACGGUACUGUAAGAAUAAGCACCGGCUAACUACGUGCCAGCAGCCGCGGUAAUACGUAGGGUGCAAGCGUUAAUCGGAAUUACUGGGCGUAAAGCGUGCGCAGGCGGUUAUAUAAGUCAGAUGUGAAAUCCCCGGGCUCAACCUGGGAACUGCAUUUGAGACUGUAUAGCUAGAGUACGGUAGAGGGGGAUGGAAUUCCGCGUGUAGCAGUGAAAUGCGUAGAUAUGCGGAGGAACACCGAUGGCGAAGGCAAUCCCCUGGACCUGUACUGACGCUCAUGCACGAAAGCGUGGGGAGCAAACAGGAUUAGAUACCCUGGUAGUCCACGCCCUAAACGAUGUCAACUGGUUGUUGGUACUUAACUGACUCAGUAACGAAGCUAACGCGUGAGUAGACGCGNGGAGGUACGGCGCGAGUAGAACGACGAAAGAAGUAGAGNGUGAGAGNGACGACGGACGACGACGAGGGAGGAGG
rnacentral:rRNA from 1 species